GGGCUACACACGUGCUACAAUGGUUGGUACAACGAGUUGCGAGUCGGUGACGGCGAGCUAAUCUCUUAAAACGCCAAUCUCAGUUCGGAUUGUAGGCUGCAACUCGCCUACAUGAAGUCGGAAUCGCUAGUAAUCGCGGAUCAGCACGCCCGCGGUCGAAUACGUUCCCGGGCCUU
rnacentral:rRNA from 1 species